rnacentral:tRNA from 1 species
GGCUGCGUAGCUCAGUUGGUUAGGCACAUCACUCAUAAUGAUGGGGUCACAGGUUCGGGGCGCAUCCGUCGUAGCCACCA